UAAUAAGAAGCAAUUAUUAAGCCUUUAGUUUCGACCUAAAAAUAUGGUAGGAUCCCUACCCUUAUUUU
rnacentral:tRNA from 1 species